UACGUAGGGUGCGAGCGUUGUCCGGAAUUACUGGGCGUAAAGAGCUCGUAGGUGGUUUGUCGCGUUGUUCGUGAAAUGCCACAGCUUAACUGUGGGCGUGCGGGCGAUACGGGCAGACUGGAGUACUGCAGGGGAGACUGGAAUUCCUGGUGUAGCGGUGGAAUGCGCAGAUAUCAGGAGGAACACCAGUGGCGAAGGCGGUUGCCUGGAGCUUUGCUGACGCUGAUGCGCGAAAGCGUGGGGAGCGAUCCGG
rnacentral:rRNA from 1 species